AGAGCAGGAACAGUUUUUUAUAGUUUAGUGUUCAUAAUAUUUUUAGUGAUUUAUUAUUAUGGAGAAAAUUCUAGACGAAUGGGAAUUGGCCGAUUUGAUUCCAAUAUUCAAGGAGCAUGGAAUAACACCUGAUAAUAUAACAAAACUAACAGAAAGCCUAAUUAAGGAAUUGAUCCCAAAUAUCGGAAAAAGGAUGAAAUUCACUGAGAAGUGGAUUAAGAUAGUAGAGUCGUCGGUAUGUACUCAAGUAUGUUCACACAAUAGUUCAUGCAAUAGGUGAUACAAAUUUAGUACCUGUUCUAAUUUUAGGAAACAAAGAUAUAUUUUUUUAAUUUUUGUUAUACGUUUUUUUUAUGAUAAUAUAUUAUAUAUUUUUGACGAAUGUUAUAUGUUUAUGUUGAGAAAAUAAAAUGUGUUCAAUUUUUUCCUUUGUAAAUUCUGUUAUCACCCAAAAUUCCAUUUUCAGGUA